UUGCUUCUUUGUGAGGGAACCAAUCAACUAACUGAAUGAAAUAAUUUCAGCAUUCCAUUUCUUUAGGACAAUUGCAGCAAGGAAGUCUAAAAUUGAUGCACCGGAGCAGCGUGAUGCCCUUAUUAAUCUUGAUGUACCUAUCCCUUUAUUUAGGACAAUUACAGCAAGGAAGUAGGAGGAAGAAGAAAUGCAGGCGACCUCAUGAAAGCCAACAACAAAGAUCCACAUGUGAGCAAUCUUGGUUCCUCUGCUUCUGCACUACAUAUAUAUUUAUUUUCUAGAUAUCUUUUCUUUUUUGCAAUUUCUGUUGUUUUGCUUACUACAAGUAACAUGGAGAUGUCAUAUGAUAUUGUUCAGUUUGCGAAAUGUAGAAGUGAGAGGAGGAACCAUGAAUUUUUAACGAGCAUUAGUUUGUGGCUCACGGAUGAAGAUUGCAAGUACUACUUUGUAACAGUUCCAAAUAGCUGAUCGUGCUUUGAAAUUAAGCCUAUCGGAAGCAAAAAAUGAAAGUUAGGUCCCCUGUAACAUGGUGAGGGCACUCAAGUCCUGAGCUUGCUACGUAAAAUUAGUUGCCAUAUAUUUUGGAUUUUUUAAAAGUCUGGAGUAUACAUAUACUAUUUUCAAUAUCUGACUAUUUUUAUAUUUCUAAUGGAAAUUAAGGGAUGGCAUGGUUUGCAUACAUGAAUUAGGGUCAUUGCUCUGUUUUUGUGUCCUUUCUCCUUUUGGAGGCCUACUCCAGAUUCAAAUUUGAAUACUGCCCAUUCAUGCUUUUAGGAAGGGAAUGAAAUGCUAAGAUGAUUUAAGUAUUG
rnacentral:lncRNA from 1 species